AGUGGUAUAGCUCAGUGGUAGAGCAUGUGCUUAGCAUGCACAAGGUCCUGGGUUCAAUUCCCAGUACCUCCA
rnacentral:tRNA from 1 species